CGCUGUGCUGCGUGCCUGGCCAAGGGCGACUUACCACACCAGAUGGCUUGGACAGUUGUUGGGACACCAGUGGACAUGCCUGGAAAUUCAUUAAUCUUGGCCUUUUGAGAAAAUCUUCAUCAGGAUUUAUUUGCAAGGGCUAGGUUCUCCCAGAAGUUCAGAGAAAGAAUCAACAUGAGGAAGGCAAGGCACUUCCAUCAGAGAAUGCAGUGGCACUGGGCACUGGAGUAACGGCUUGGUGACACCGUCGUGGUUCUAGUUAGGCCUGGAAGAUGGAGACCCAAGGAUUGGGAGUGGAAAUGCAUUUCCUCAGGGAUGUGAGAAUGACGAGAUUUUUUACCUGAGACCUAACAAUGUUGAGUCUGGAAUGGCCAGGUGACAGUGAACAGAGAUGGUUAGGAGAGCAAGGAGACUAAAAUAGAGACAGGCAAGACCAACUUAUUUUCCAACUCUUGCCUGAUGGCUCAUUUCCAAGACCCCGGAAACUGAUUCUCAACUGGUAUGCAACUGGUAUCUCCCUCCCCCAGCGUGUGCUGCUGAAUUCUGAUCAAUGGAGACACUAAACCUAUUUUGCCACAUGUCAUGGGAUGGAAAGCUGGGCUGAACAGAUCUUAUGACGUGUAGACCAGGGUACAACCUGCUGGGAAUAAAAGGGAAGAGGCAAAGAGUAGUGUCAGUCUGGUGCCAGAGAAAGACCGUGUGUUUAUGACAUUCAAAAUGAAUACAUUUUCAUGAGAGUAUGAAAGACUGAUCAAGAUGGUAACUCUAGACAUUCAAACAGUAACAACAUAGGAAGGGUGACCAAGGGACUGUGGGUGCAAAUGUGUAUCCUCAAAAUCUCCAAAGUCCACAUUCACAUUGUGCCUCAAACACAAAAACAGCAUUAGAGAAUUGAGGGUAGCUUAUAGCAUUCUGGAUAGGGUGGACCCCUUUGUGUAUUCAAGAACCAUAAAUUUAGCGUGUUCUACACGG